rnacentral:rRNA from 1 species
UACGUAGGGGGCUAGCGUUGUCCGGAAUCAUUGGGCGUAAAGAGCGUGUAGGCGGCUAGGUAGGUCCGUUGUGAAAACUCGAGGCUCAACCUCGAGACGCCGAUGGAAACCAUCUAGCUAGAGUCCGGAAGAGGCGAGUGGAAUUCCCGGUGUAGCGGUGAAAUGCGCAGAUAUCGGGAGGAACACCUAUGGCGAAGGCAGCUCGCUGGGACGUUACUGACGCUGAGACGCGAAAGCGUGGGGAGCAAACAGG